UCCCAGACUCCUACGGGAGGCAGCAGUGAGGAAUAUUGGUCAAUGGGCGGAAGCCUGAACCAGCCAAGUCGCGUGAGGGAAGAAGGCCCUGCGGGUCGCAGACCUCUUUGGACGGGGAGCAAGGCCGCCGACGUGUCGGCGGAAGGAGAGUACCCGUAGAACAAGCAUCGGCUAACUCCGUGCCAGCAGCCGCGGUAAUACGGAGGAUGCGAGCGUUAUCCGGAUUUACUGGGUGUAAAGGGAGCGUAGACGGUUGUGCAAGUCAGAAGUGAAAGCCCGGGGCUCAACUCCGGGACUGCUUUUGAAACUGUGAAACUGGAGUGCAGGAGAGGUAAGCGGAAUUCCUGGUGUAGCGGUGAAAUGCGUAGAUAUCAGGAGGAACACCAGUGGCGAAGGCGGCUUACUGGACUGUAACUGACGUUGAGGCUCGAAAGCGUGGGGAGCAAACAGGAUUAGAUACCCGCGUAC
rnacentral:rRNA from 1 species